AAAACAAAACACAAACAGAUUUGUUAGAAGUGAUUUUAAAGACAAAAGCAAAUUGUUUUGUGUAAGAAUGUUUGAAAUAACAAGAAAAGAUUAAAACUCCUAAUUUUGAUGUGUUUCUUGAUACAACAAGAUAGGAGAACAUCUUUCUUGAAGCAACUUUAACCUAGAACGAAAAUCAAUAAAAAUCAGCAAGCCAAACCAACAAGAACUAAAUUAAAUAAGCAAGAAAUGAUAAAUUAAUGAUAGAAAAAAGAAGAUGACGUCCUAAGAAGCC
rnacentral:lncRNA from 1 species